GACAGAGGGUGCUAGCGUUGUUCGGAAUUACUGGGCGUAAAGGGCGCGUAGGCGGCUCGUUUAGUCGGGUGUGAAAUCCCAAGGCUCAACCUUGGAACUGCAUUCGAUACUGGCGGGCUAGAGACCGGAAGAGGUGGGUGGAAUACCCAGUGUAGAGGUGAAAUUCGUAGAUAUUGGGUGGAACACCGGUGGGCGAAGGCGGCUCACUGGUCCGGUUCUGACGCUGAGGCGCGAAAGCGUGGGGAGCAAACAGG
rnacentral:rRNA from 1 species